UACGUAGGUGACCAGCGUUGUCCGGAUUUACUGGGCGUAAAGAGCGCGCAGGCGGUCGUUCAAGUCGAGUGUGAAAGCCCCCGGCUCAACUGGGGAGGGUCACUCGAUACUGAUCGACUUGAAGGCAGGAGAGGGAAGCGGAAUUCCCGGUGUAGUGGUGAAAUGCGUAGAUAUCUGGAGGAACACCGGUGGCGAAGGCGGCGUUCUGGACUGCUACUGACACUGAGGAACGAAAGCCAGGGGAGCAAACGGG
rnacentral:rRNA from 1 species